UAGAUUAAGAGGUUGUUGAGUAAUGUAGGCAAGCUGGAGCCUGGAUGGCGUGACUCCAAGAUCUGUGUGGGACAUUUGCAAGAAGAGAGCAGCUGGAGAGGAGAAUGUGGGAGAUAUUUGAAGAAAUUUCAAGAGAGAAUAUUGAUAUUCCUGUUUCAGGAGGAUAUGCCACUCUUAUUUACAGAGAGGAACUGGAGUUUUAAAGGAAAAAUAAGGUGAUGUUGCUGAUUUUCAGAAAUAUUUUCAGCUUCAGAUAUCUGUGAUAAAAAUGAGAAAAAAGAAGUGGAUGUUCUGUCAGAAGGUAUUGGUGAGAUAGGAGACCCAGAAUUGGGAUGAACAUGCGUGAGAAAAAAGUGACUCUGCUCCCUUUGUGAUCGGGGCGAACAUGACUAACUGAUCCAGGAAUUUGUUUCAUUUGGUCACGAAUGGGCUUUGCAAAUCCUUCCUAAUGACAUGACAGUGUCACCUACUGGCAAAGCAGGACCCUAUGAGGCAUCUAAAGGGAGAUUUAGCCAGAUAUGUUGUUUAUCAGUGCUCCUGAAUUUCAAUGUCAAUUUAUUGUAGAAAUCUUAAAAACUUAAUCCUCCUAAAAUAAUGCUGUUUUUAGGGGCAACACAUAAUUGUGU
rnacentral:lncRNA from 1 species